UACGUAGGGUGCAAGCGUUGUCCGGAUUUAUUGGGUUUAAAGGGUGCGUAGGCGGCCUUGUAAGUCAGUGGUGAAAUACUCCAGCUUAACUGGAGGGGUGCCAUUGAUACUGCAGGGCUUGAGUUAAGUUGAAGUUGGCGGAAUUGACGGUGUAGCGGUGAAAUGCUUAGAUAUCGUCAAGAACACCGAUAGUGAAGACAGCUAACUAAACUUUUACUGACGCUGAGGCACGAAAGUGUGGGGAUCAAACAGG
rnacentral:rRNA from 2 species